GCAAAUGCCUGAAAAAUCAAGGGUUUUCUCUCCCCUGCUAAGGGAGUAGGCGUCUAAAAAGCGCGCGAGGGUUCAAAUCCCUCCUUCUGCG
rnacentral:tRNA from 1 species